rnacentral:rRNA from 1 species
CGGGACACGUGGUAUCCUGUCUGAAUAUGGGGGGACCAUCCUCCAAGGCUAAAUACUCCUGACUGACCGAUAGUGAACCAGUACCGUGAGGGAAAGGCGAAAAGAACCCCGGCGAGGGGAGUGAAAAAGAACCUGAAACCGUGUACGUACAAGCAGUGGGAGCACGCUUAGGCGUGUGACUGCGUACCUUUUGUAUAAUGGGUCAGCGACUUAUAUUCUGUAGCAAGGUUAACCGAAUAGGGGAGCCGAAGGGAAACCGAGUCUUAACUGGGCGUUAAGUUGCAGGGUAUAGA